rnacentral:rRNA from 1 species
AGCGUUGCUCGGAAUCACUGGGCGUAAAGCGCACGUAGGCGGAUUGUUAAGUCAGGGGUGAAAUCCUGGAGCUCAACUCCAGAACUGCCUUUGAUACUGGCGAUCUUGAGUUCGGGAGAGGUGAGUGGAACUGCGAGUGUAG